rnacentral:rRNA from 1 species
CUCCUACGGGAGGCAGCAGUAGGGAAUAUUGGUAAUCUGGGAAACCGGGAACCAGCAACGCCGCGUGCGCGAUGAAGGCCUUCGGGUUGUAAAGCGCUUUUUGAGAGGAUGAGGAAGGACAGUACUCUUAGAAUAAGCCUCGGCUAACUACGUGCCAGCAGCCGCGGUAAAACGUAGGAGGCGAGCGUUAUCCGGAUUUACUGGGCGUAAAGCGUGUGUAGGCGGUUUGAUAAGUUGGAUGUGAAAGCUCCUGGCUUAACUGGGAGAGGUCGUUCAAAACUAUCAGACUUGAGAGUGGUAGAGGGAGGUGGAAUUCCGCAUGUAGUGGUGAAAUGCGUAGAUAUGCGGAGGAACACCAGUGGCGAAAGCGGCCUCCUGGCCCAUUUCUGACGCUCAGACACGAAAGCUAAGGUAGCAAACGGGAUUAGAGACCCCGGUAGUCUUAGCUGUAAACGAUGUGAACUUAGUGUCGGUGGGGUUAAAUCCAUCGGUACUGAAGCUAACGCGAUAAGUUCACCGCCUGAGGACUACGGCCGCAAGGUUAAAACUCAAAGGAAUUGACGGGGCCCCGCACAAGCAGCGGAGCGUGUGGUUUAAUUCGAUGUUACACGAAGAACCU